rnacentral:lncRNA from 1 species
UUAUGAUUAUAUAUAUUAACAGAUGCUUAAGACCUUCCUCUUGGACUUAAGUGAUGACAACACAUUUCUAAAAUGGGCUUAAAUUUUUUGAAAGUGCUGAGGGAGAACUGUUAAACGGUUAGAAACAAUUACACUCUGACCAUUUCUUUGGAGUACAAAUUGAUGCAUACUUUUUGCUUUUUCACUGAAUGAGUACAACCAAUUUAAAAAUUAGACAGCACAGAUGCAUUUCAAGAUGGCAAAUUAUAAAGUGCACUGCCAAAGUGCUACAGUAAUUGUUAUCGACAAACGUACAUACAAACAGUACUGGAUUAGAAUGCUUCAGAGCAAUAGUGUUUGCUAGCAGAAUUACACAGUACCUAAUUCAAAAAAACAGAGAUCAUGGCAAGGAAUGUAGUGCACAUGUGAGAGAAUAGAGAGGGAGCAGAGCUGGCAGAAGACAACAGACAUCAAUUAUG